UUUACUAGAUUACAAAACUUUAAAUCCGAAUUUCUUAGGAUCAACCAAGAAUUUUGUUUUAUUGAAUGCAUUCUCUGUCCUUAAAGCAUCUAAAUCACAAAGCUAAAAAAGAGCCAGGAUUCCGCCCUUUAAAACUUUUUUGCAAUGAAUAUGUAAUUGGGGUUGAAAAAAAUAAAAAAAAUGGGUGAGAUCUGGUAAAAUAAUUUAGUAUUACGUGGUUAAUUGCUUGAAAGGAAAUUAUGUGGAAGGACCACGAGACGGCGAGAAGGCGAUGUGAUGAACAAUACAAUCUAACGGGAUUUAACGUGUUCUUGCUAGGGUUAAUGACUUUUAGAAUAAGGUAUAAAAGUUCGCUUAGAACUGAAUUGGCAUUAAUUACAUGGUGUUAAUGGAUGGAGUUUAAAGGGAUUAACUCAAAGCACAAAGCCCUAGAGAAGGGGUGUUGGCAGUGGACAUGACCUCCAGAGCAUCAAAAAUAAUUUCGGCAUAAAGGGAGGGUGUUUUUUACUUAUAGAUUAGGGUAGAGAUGUAUCUUGUAUUAUUUGCUUUGUUCGUCUAAUAUAGAAACUUUUUUUUCAUUUACGUAAUAUUGCUGAAAUGUGAAUACAUAAUUAACAUGAACAUUGUCUACAUUUUCUUAUA